CUCCCCAGUGCAAUCCCUUACGUUUGUUGGUAUUGCUUGGUGUGAUUUUCAAAGCCUGCUCUUUCAGCCUGUGCUCUCCCAUUGGAUGGAUCCAAUGGAGAGCUGUAGGCCAGCUCUGUGUGCUGCAUGCUAAAACAGGAAGCUUGUCAGUGUUAGCUAGGAUGAAGAACUUUUCAAAGGAUUUUGAAGUACCGACUAGAAAUGAUCGCUUAACACCAUCUGCCAGUUAUGCUGGGUGCAUCGCAGUGAUCCCAGGUAACACCAGAACUGCUCCUCUGGACCUUAUCAGAAAAACAAGCAAAAACCUCCUGAAAAAGCUGUCCAUUCUUCUACAGGUAGGUAAAAUUACUCUGAACCAAUCCUGUUUCCUGUUCU
ensembl:lncRNA